UUGAUCUUCAUUGUCUCUUGUUUGUUUUUAAGGCGAUCACUUUAUUCAUCAGUUGUACAUCAGGUCCAACUCGGAUGUAACUUCAUCCCAACCUCUCCUAAAGACAAUACACUACAUGGAGAGGUAGGAACAGGGGAAUGUUAUCUCAACCUCUCCUAAAGACAAUACACUACAUGGAGAGGUAGGAACAGGGGACUGUUUAUCCCAACCUCUCCUAAAGACAAUACACUACAUGGAGAGGUAGGAACAGGGGACUGUUUAUCCCAACCUCUCCUAAAGACAAUACACUACAUGGAGAGGUAGGAACAGGGGACUGUUUAUCUCAACCUCUCCUAAAGACAAUACACUACAUGGAGAGGUAGGAACAGGGGACUGUUUAUCUCAACCUCUCCUAAAGACAAUACACUACAUGGAGAGGUAGGAACAGGGGACUGUUUAUCUCAACCUCUCCUAAAGAC